CUUCCUCCUUCUCUUCCCUUCUUUCUCUUCUUCUUCCCUAUUGCUGUCUUGGGGGCCAUGGUCAUUGUCAUGGAUAAACUUUUCAAUAGAUUAUCAGGUUCAAAAAAAUCAUCAUAGAGUGGUUACUUAUUUGGCUAUCGGCAUCUUGAGUUUUCAGAUUCAAAGACUCCUUUUGGAGAAUCAGACCUUAGUGUUUUGGGAUUUAUGUCUAGAGGCGAGAUCAGUUUGUAAAAGAUGAUUAUUUUUGGGAUAGUUGUGCUUAAUGAUAUUAUGUAGAAUUGAUAUGGAUUACUGUAAAGUUAAAGUUAAAAUUGAAAUACAAAAUGGUUAGUUGUUCUAUUAUUA